AAAAGAAACCAACAGGGAUUGCCCUAGUAACGGCGAGUGAAGCGGCAACAGCUCAAAUUUGAAAGCUGGCUCCGGCCCGCAUUGUAAUUUGCAGAGGAUGCUUCUGGCAAGGUGCCUUCCGAGUUCCCUGGAACGGGACGCCAUAGAGGGUGAGAGCCCCGUAUGGAUGGACACCAAGCCUGUGUGAAGCUCCUUCAACGAGUCGAGUAGUUUGGGAAUGCUGCUCAAAAUGGGAGGUAAAUCUCUUCUAAAGCUAAAUAUUGGCCAGAGACCGAUAGCGCACAAGUAGAGUGAUCGAAAGAUGAAAAGCACCUUGAAAAGGGGGUUAAACAGUACGUGAAAUUGUUGAAAGGGAAGCGCUUGUGACCAGACUUGCGCCGGGCAGCUCAUCAGGGGUUCUCCCCUGUGCACUCUGUCCGGCUCAGGCCAGCAUCGGUUCUCGUGGGAGGAUAAGAACGGUGGGAACGUGGCCCCCCUCCGGGGGGGUGUUAUAGCCCAUCGUACGAUACUCUCGUGGGGACCGAGGUUCGCGCUCCGCAAGGAUGCUGGCGUAAUGGUCAUCAGCGA
rnacentral:rRNA from 1 species